rnacentral:tRNA from 1 species
GAAUUGUUUUGGAAAAGCGAGAACUGCUAAUUACUCUCUUCUAUGGUUCAACCCCAUAGCCAGUUCA